ACGAACGCUGGCGGCGUGCUUAACACAUGCAAGUCGAACGGAAAGGCCUGCUUUCCCUUGUGGAUUGCGGGUACUCGAGUGGCGAACGGGUGAGUAACACGUGAGUGAUCUGCCCCCAACUUGGGUAUAAGCCUGGGAAACUGGGUCUAAUUCCCGAUAGGACUGCAGGGUGGUGCCUGUGGUGGAAAACGAUUUUCUAGUGGUUGGGGAUGAGCUCGCGGCCUAUCAGCUUGUUGGUGGGGUAAUGACCUACCAAGGCGGCGACGGGUAGCCGGCCUGAGAGGGUGGACGGCCACAUUGGGACUGAGAUACGGCCCAGACUCCUACGGGAGGCAGCAGUGGGGAAUAUUGCACAAUGGGCGGAAGCCUGAUGCAGCGACGCCGCGUGGGGGAUGACGGCCUUCGGGUUGUAAACUCCUUUCGACCGCGAGGAAGCCACCUGGUUGGAAGGGUGGUGACGGUAGUGGUAGAAGAAGCACCGGCUAACUACGUG
rnacentral:rRNA from 1 species